rnacentral:rRNA from 1 species
CCUACGGGAGGCAGCAGUGGGGAAUUUUGGACAAUGGGGGCAACCCUGAUCCAGCCAUUCCGCGUGAGUGAAGAAGGCCUUCGGGUUGUAAAGCUCUUUCGCAAGGGAAGAAAACUUAUGAUCGAAUAAAUCAUGAGGUUGACGGUACCUUGAUAAGAAGCACCGGCUAACUACGUGCCAGCAGCCGCGGUAAUACGUAGGGUGCGAGCGUUAAUCGGAAUUACUGGGCGUAAAGCGUGCGCAGGCGGUUUUGUAAGUCGGAUGUGAAAUCCCCGGGCUCAACCUGGGAACUGCGUUCGAAACUGCAAGGCUAGAGUGUGUCAGAGGGGGGUAGAAUUCCACGUGUAGCAGUGAAAUGCGUAGAGAUGUGGAGGAAUACCAAUGGCGAAGGCAGCCCCCUGGGAUAACACUGACGCUCAUGCACGAAAGCGUGGGGAGCAAACAGGAUUAGAUACCCUGGUAGUCCACGCCCUAAACGAUGUCAACUAGUUGUUGGUAGAGUAAAAUCUAUGAGUAACGUAGCUAACGCGUGAAGUUGACCGCCUGGGGAUACGGUCGCAAGAUUAAAACUUAAAUGAAUUGACGGNUGAGACGNGCGAGACGACGACGAGGAGAGG